rnacentral:rRNA from 1 species
UGGGGAAUAUUGCGCAAUGGGCGAAAGCCUGACGCAGCGACGCCGCGUGGAGGAUGAGGCCCUUCGGGGUGUAAACUCCUGUUGCCCGGGACGAAUGCCCCACCUGGGUGGGGUUGACGGUACCGGGUGAGGAAGCACCGGCUAACUCUGUGCCAGCAGCCGCGGCAAUACAGAGGGUGCGAGCGUUGUCCGGAAUCACUGGGCGUAAAGGGCGCGUAGGUGGCAGGUCACGCGUGCCGUGAAAGCCCGGGGCUCAACCCCGGGUCGGCGGUGCGAACGGGCCAGCUGGAGCGUACGAGGGGCAGGCGGAAUUCCGGGUGUAGCGGUGGAGUGCGUAGAGAUCCGGAAGAACACCGGUGGCGAAGGCGGCCUGCUGGCGUACGGCUGACACGGAGGCGCGACAGCGUGGGGAGCAAACAGG